GAUAGGUUCAUACUGGCUGGUUAAGAAUAACAGGUCACUAGUUAAAUUUAUUUAUAGGCCUUCUAUGCCUUAGCGUAGCGUAGUAUCAACGUUCUUUCUCUGCAAGGGCGUCUGCAUCGCUGGCACAGUUCAACUACCAGGCAGACUGGAGCAUGCUGGAUACGGAACUGUUUUGCAGACACUUUGCGGGCCUCAAGACUUCAGCUUGUUAUAUCUGCUCAUCUGCUUCCC